AGAUUUUUCUUCUCAAGAAGAAUCUUGAUCUUAAAGACUUUGAUCAACUCCUCUGAUCUUAACUGCGAGAUCAACUCUUUUGAUCUGUAGCCUUUUUCUUCUUCUCCUUGAUCCUUGAUCUUUAAGUCACCAAUACUUCUUGGCAUGUGGAAGAGAGAGCACCCAACUUUUGGGUGUGGAAAUGAAGAAAAUGAUGAGAGGAGGUGUGGACAUGG
rnacentral:lncRNA from 1 species